UCAAAAUAAAUCAUCACAAUUAACAAAUACCACAAAAUUUUCUAAAUUCUUUGCUUCAACUUAACUGAAUUGCAAAAGGGAAAAUAGCUAAUCGAUUUGAGCAAUAUGCAAUUAGUAAAAGAAGGAGAAUAUUACGUGCAUUAGUCUAAUUUCCAACAAAAAUACAAAUACCAUAAAAAGACCACCUUAAAAUUCAUACAUGUGCCAUCACUUAUGAUGGACACCUAAUCUUCAUCUAUCCCCAACCCACCAGUCCACCAAACCCACCUCAUCUUCAUCGCUUAGUUAGGGAGAUUGUAAGACUGGUCUCUCACUUGACCCGAUCCGCUAACAUAUGAAAAACUCAAGUCUUCCUUCUUCCCUCCUACGGGGUAGGCAGAUUGAGAAAUUACAGUCACUCAAAAGUCAAAAUCUAUAAUUCCAAACUAUGUCCUUGCCGGAAGUUACCAUCACCCUUGGCCGUUGUGUUCUGGUAGUCAGGUUGUCAAGACUCGAGGAAAAGGGAGAUAUAACCAAUCUCUUUCUUACCACCUGAAGAGGCUUUCUUCUUUUACUUGAAUAAGUUGGCAAUCAGAUCAAUCACCUCCUUGAUUAUAGGAAUCAAUCAAGGAGAAUAUUAUGUAUAUUAGCUAGCUUGUAUAUAAUCGUUUGACUGUCAAUCAGUAACACUCAAGGAAUUGAUUUCCAUUAACCGUAAUAUAUUCAGCAAUAAGUUGGCAAUUAGAAUUGAUUACAUGAUUGUAAAGAUUUUUGUUUCCUAAACUAUGGGAUCCCCUAAUAAUUGUUGUGUGCGUGAA